rnacentral:rRNA from 1 species
AACGAACGCUGGCGGCAUGCCUAACACAUGCAAGUCGAACGAUCCCUUCGGGGUUAGUGGCGCACGGGUGCGUAACGCGUGGGAACCUGCCCUUAGGUUCGGAAUAACUCAGAGAAAUUUGAGCUAAUACCGGAUAAUGUCUUCGGACCAAAGAUUUAUCGCCUUUGGAUGGGCCCGCGUUGGAUUAGCUAGUUGGUGGGGUAAAGGCCUACCAAGGCGACGAUCCAUAGCUGGUCUGAGAGGAUGACCAGCCACACUGGGACUGAGACACGGCCCAGACUCCUACGGGAGGCAGCAGUGGGGAAUAUUGGACAAUGGGCGAAAGCCUGAUCCAGCAAUGCCGCGUGAGUGAUGAAGGCCUUAGGGUUGUAAAGCUCUUUUACCCGGGAUGAUAAUGACAGUACCGGGAGAAUAAGCCCCGGCUAACUCCGUG